UGGUCCAAUCUAUUUGGAGUUCUGUAGGCUUCUUGUAUGUCUAUGGGUAUCUCUUUUUUUAGGUUAGGGAAGUUUUCUUCUAUGAUUUUGUUGAAGAUAUUUACUGGUCCUUUGAGCUGGGAGUCUUCACUCUCUUCUAUACCUAUUAUCCUUAGGUUUGAUCUUCUCAUUGAGUCCUGGAUUUCCUGUAUGUUUUGGACCAGUAGCUUUUUCUGUUUUACAUUAUCUUUGACAGUUGAGUCAAUGAUUUCUAUGGAAUCUUCUGCUCCCGAGAUUCUCUCUUCCAUCUCUUGUAUUCUGUUGGUGAAGCUUGUAUCUACAGCUCCUUGUCUCUUCUUUUGGUUUUCUAUGUCCAGGGUUGUUUCCAUGUGUUCUUUCUUGAUUGCUUCUAUUUCCAUUUUUAAUUCCUUCAACUGUUUGAUUGUGUUUUCCUGGAAUUCUUUCAGGGAUUUUUCGAUUCCUCUCUGUAGGCUUCUACUUGUUCUCUAAGGGAGUUCUUUAUGUCUUUCUUGAAGUCCUCCAGCAUCAUGAUCAAAUAUGAUUUUGAAACUAGAUCUUGCUUUUCUGGUGUGUUUGGAUAUUCCGUGUUUGCUUUGGUGGGAGAAUUGGGCUCCGAUGAUGCCAUGUAGUCUUGGUUUCUGUUGCUUGUGUUCCUGCGCUUGCCUCUCGCCAUCAGAUUAUCUCUAGUGUUACUUUGUUCUGCUAUUUCUGACAGUGGGUAGACUGUCCUAUAAGCCUGUGUGUCAGGAGUGCUGUAGACCUGUUUUCCUCUCUUUCAGUCAGUUAUGGGGACAGAGUGUUCUGCUUUCGGGCGUGUAGUUUUCCCUCUCUACAGGUCUUCAGCUGUUCCUGUGGGCCUGUGUCUUGAGUUCACCAGGCACCUUUCUUGCAGCAGAAAAUUUGGUCUUACCUGUGGUCCUGAGGCUCAAGUUCGCUCGUGGGGUGCUGCCCACGGGCUCUCUGCAGCGGCAGCAACCAGGAAGACCUGUGCCGCCCCUUCCGGGAGCUUCAGUGCACCAGGGUUCCAGAUGGUCUUUGGCUUUUUCCUCUGGCGUCCGAGAUGUGUGUGCAGGGAGCAGUCUCUUCUGGUUUCCCAGGCUUGUCUGCCUCUCUGAAGGUUUAGCUCUCCCUCCCAUGGGAUUUGGGUGCAGAGAACUGUUUAUCGGGUCUGUUUCUUUCAGGUUCCAGAGGUGUCUCAGGCAGGGGUCCUGCCGCUCCUGGGCCCUCCCUCACGGGAGCUCAGAGGCCUUAUACAGUUUCCUCUUGGGCCAGGGAUGUGGGCAGGGGUGAGCAGUGUUGGUGGUCUCUUCCGCUCUGUAGCCUCAGGAGUGCCCACCUGAUCAGGCGGUUGGGUCUCUCUCUCACCGGGUCUGGGAGCAGUGAGCUGCUGUGGGCCGGGAUCCGCGGGUGUGGGACCCCAUGUGUUCUUUCUUGAUUGCUUCUAUUUCCAUUUUUAAUUCCUUCAACUGUUUGAUUGUGUUUUCCUGGAAUUCUUUCAGGGAUUUUUGCGAUUCCUCUCUGUAGGCUUCUACUUGUUCUCUAAGGGAGUUCUUUAUGUCUUUCUUGAAGUCCUCCAGCAUCAUGAUCAAAUAUGAUUUUGAAACUAGAUCUUGCUUUUCUGGUGUGUUUGGAUAUUCCGUGUUUGCUUUGGUGGGAGAAUUGGGCUCCGAUGAUGCCAUGUAGUCUUGGUUUCUGUUGCUUGUGUUCCUGCGCUUGCCUCUCGCCAUCAGAUUAUCUCUAGUGUUACUUUGUUCUGCUAUUUCUGACAGUGGGUAGACUGUCCUAUAAGCCUGUGUGUCAGGAGUGCUGUAGACCUGUUUUCCUGUUUUCUUUCAGCCAGUUAUGGGGACAGAGUGUUCUGCUUUCGGGCGUGUAGUUUUUCCUUUCUACAGGUCUUCAGCUGUUCCUGUGGGCCUGUGUCUUGAGUUCACCAGGCAGGUUUCUUGCAGGGGAAAAGUUGGUCCUACCUGUGGUUCCAAGGCUCAAGUUUGCUCGUGGGGUACUGCCUAAGUCCUCUCUGCGGCGGCAGCAACUGGGAAGUUCUGAGCCGCUCUUUUCAGGAGCCUCCGUGCACCAGUGUUCCAGAUGGCGUUUGGUGUUUUCCUCUGGUGUCUGGAUGUGCACAGAGUGCAGUCUCUUCUGGUUUCCCAGGCGUGUCCGCCUCUCAGAAGGUUUAGCUCUCCCUCCCACGGGAUUUGGGUGCAGAGAACUGUUUAUCCGGUCUGUUUCCUUCAGGUUCUGACGGUGUCUCAGGCGCAGGGAUCCUGCCGCUCCUGGGCAGCAUGCUAUUAAGCAAGAAUGCAACCAAACCUCCUUGAUCUACUUGAUUUCUGUAUUAUUGGUAAGUCCUAACAUAUUCUUUAUUGAGUCAUGCUAAUAAAGUGGAAAUAUAUGAGUUUCUACAGAUACUAAAGAUCACCACGUAUUUAAAGUACAAGCAAGACAUUUCUAAACUGUAAAAUACAUGAGUUACCCCAUAAGACCCUUGUAACUUAUGUUUAAGUAUUGGGUUGUUCAACAGCUUCAGAUUCUAGAAGGGACUCAGUUCUUUAAGUUCUUAAAAUAUAAAAUAGUAUAGUGUUUCUUUAAGAAGUUAUAUCUAUGUUAUUGGUUUCCUUUUUAGUGACUUAAGACAAUGUGGCAGGUAGGAUAGUUAAAUGCAUUGUUUUCUGUCUCUUUCUUUUUCCCAGGGUUGGGGGUGAAAUCCAGGGCUUUAUAUAUGCUUGGAUGUGCUGUAUGGAUUAGCUACACCCCUCCAGCCAGUUUUAAUCAGUGUGGCACCCAGCUGAAUUCUCAGUACUUAGAAGUACUAGGGAAGCUGAGGCAGGUAGAUCAAUUGAGCGCAUAAAUUGGAGCCUAGACAACACAGUGAGAUCUUGUUUCAAAGUUUAGAACAAAAUGAGAUUGGAAUAUAUAUAUAUAUAUACACAUACACAUGCGCGCGCACACACACACACACACACACACACACACAUAUAUAUAUAUAUAUAUAUAUAUAUAUAUAUAUAUAUAUAUAUAUAUGCUGGGAAUUGAACUCAGGUCCUCUGGAAGAGUACCCAGUGCUCUUAACCACUGAGCUGUCUCUCCCGCUCCCAUAUUCCAACUUUUUUUUUUCCUAUUCUUUUUUUUUUUUCGGAGCUGGGGAUCGAACCCAGGGCCUUAAGCGCUCUACCACUGAGCCAAAUCCCCAACCCAUAUUCCAACUUUUUAAAGAAAAAAAUUCCAUAUGAUUUCUUUAAAAAAUUUCUUUAAAGAUUAAUUUUAUGUGUAGGAGUGUUUUAUCUACAUCUCUGUAUAUGCAACAUGUGUGUGCUUGGUAUCCAUUAAGAUCAGAAGAUGGUAUCCUGGUGUUAAAGGUGGUUAUAAAUCACCUAUGUGGAUUCUGGGAACUGAACCUUGGCCUUGCAAGAGCAAUAAGUACUUUUGCCACUGAGCUGUCUCUUCAGGCCCUCCAUAUGGUUGUUUCUCUCUAGUAUUAGAAUUCUUGGGGGUAGCUGACCUGGGUCUUAGGUGAUUGAUGCCAAUGCUUCUGAACAGUUCCUGUGAGGUAAAUAGUACAGAGCAGUAGAUGGAUUCUAGCACAGCGAGUCAGUGACUUCCUUACAGAGUGCUUCUUGAUUUGCUUACCUGACACAAAAAUUACUUACCCAAAGGCUGAUUUUUCCCCUACAAUUCAAUCCAGUGUUUUGUUUCUAUAACCUAGAAUUUGUUCCUUUGCCCUACUCCCUCAAAACAAAAAGCAAAAAAACCAAACCAACAAUCUGGCAAGACAUUCCCAAUCAACAGUAGCUUUCUUUCAUCAGGAUCCAAGUUUGGGGCUAAUAGUGAACAUGGAAACAGAUGAAAUAGUAUUGUUAGAAAGCUAGAAAGCAGGAACCUGUGCUGAUUAGCAGACUAAGGCUCUACUAUUUGUCUAUUUACAAAGGAUCUUAUUGUUGGGAGUAACGAAACGGCCCAGCAGCUAAGAGCCUGUGCUACUCCUCCAGUGGUCCUCAGUUUGUUUCCCAGCUUUACUUGGUGACUGACAACCUUCAACAACUAUUUCCACGGAUCCAGCACCUUCUUCUAGGCUCACCAGACCCUGCUUGAAUCUGGUACAUAAACAUACAUGUAGGCAAAACACUAUUAAUACACAUAGCACCAAUCAAAUGUUAAAAAAUUUAAAAACUAAGCCCAUGUUACCGUGUUAAUUGCAUUGUUGUAAUUUUCACAUUAAGAUGGAGGAGACAGCUCACUAGAUAAACUGCUUGCCGAGUCAGCAUGAGGACCUAGAUUGAGAUCCUGAGUAUUUAUGUUAAAAAACAAAGUGCAGUUGUAUGUGCCUCUAAUCCCAGAACCAAGGGCGUAAAAGAGAAGAAGCUCUCUGAUAGCUGCUAGCCAACAAUUUAAGUUGAUAGAAGAAGCUGAGUUUCAGUGAGAAACCCUGUGUCAAAAAUUAAGGUGGAGGGCUAGAGCGAUGGCUCAAGAGUUAGAUAGAGUACUUAUUCUUGUUGAGGAUAUAGGAUUAGUUCCCAGUAUCACAUGAUGACUCAGUUAUCCAUAACUCCAGUCCAUGGAUUCAACAUUCUCUUCUGACCUCCACUAUGCACACACAUGGUACACACACACACACACACACACACACACACAC